UGGGGAAUAUUGCACAAUGGGCGCAAGCCUGAUGCAGCAACGCCGCGUGAACGAUGAAGGUCUUCGGAUCGUAAAGUUCUGUUGCAGGGGAAGAUAAUGACGGUACCCUGUGAGGAAGCCCCGGCUAACUACGUGCCAGCAGCCGCGGUAAUACGUAGGGGGCUAGCGUUAUCCGGAUUUACUGGGCGUAAAGGGUGCGUAGGUGGUCUUUCAAGUCGGUGGUUAAAGGCUACGGCUCAACCGUAGUUAGCCUCCGAAACUGGAAGACUUGAGUGCAGGAGAGGAAAGUGGAAUUCCCAAUGUAGCGGUGAAAUGCGUAGAUAGUGGGAGGAACACCAGUAGCGAAGGCGGCUUUCUGGACUGCAACUGACACUGAGGAACGAAAGAGUGGGUAGCAAACAGG
rnacentral:rRNA from 1 species